UACGGAAGGCAGCAGUGGGGAAUAUUGCACAAUGGGCGCAAGCCUGAUGCAGCCAUGCCGCGUGUAUGAAGAAGGCCUUCGGGUUGUAAAGUACUUUCAGUCGUGAGGAAGGUGUUAAGGUUAAUAACCUUAGCAAUUGACGUUAGCGACAGAAGAAGCACCGGCUAACUCCGUGCCAGCAGCCGCGGUAAUACGGAGGGUGCGAGCGUUAAUCGGAAUUACUGGGCGUAAAGGGCACGCAGGCGGUUAAUUAAGUUGGAUGUGAAAUCCCCGGGCUUAACCUGGGAAUGGCAUUCAAGACUGGUUAGCUAGAGUCUUGUAGAGGGGGUAGAAUUCCAUGUGUAGCGGUGAAAUGCGUAGAGAUGUGGAGGAAUACCGGUGGCGAAAGGCGGCCCCUGGACAAAAGACUGACGCUCAUGUGCGAAAAGCGUGGGGAGCAAAACAGGGAAUUAGAUACC
rnacentral:rRNA from 1 species